rnacentral:rRNA from 1 species
UACGUAGGGUGCAAGCGUUGUCCGGAAUUAUUGGGCGUAAAGAGCUCGUAGGCGGUUUGUCGCGUCGGGAGUGAAAACCUCGGGCUUAACUCGGGGCUUGCUUUCGAUACGGGCAGACUAGAGGUAUGCAGGGGAGAACGGAAUUCCUGGUGUAGCGGUGAAAUGCGCAGAUAUCAGGAGGAACACCGGUGGCGAAGGCGGUUCUCUGGGCAUGAUCUGACGCUGAGGAGCGAAAGUGUGGGGAGCGAACAGG